GACGAACGCUGGCGGCGUGCCUAAUACAUGCAAGUAGGACGCUGAAGGAGGAGCUUGCUUCUCUGGAUGAGUUGCGAACGGGUGAGUAACGCGUAGGUAACCUGCCUGGUAGCGGGGGAUAACUAUUGGAAACGAUAGCUAAUACCGCAUAAGAGUAGAUGUCGCAUGACAUUUGCUUAAAAGGUGCAAUUGCAUCACUACCAGAUGGACCUGCGUUGUAUUAGCUAGUUGGUGAGGUAACGGCUCACCAAGGCAACGAUACAUAGCCGACCUGAGAGGGUGAUCGGCCACACUGGGACUGAGACACGGCCCAGACUCCUACGGGAGGCAGCAGUAGGGAAUCUUCGGCAAUGGACGGAAGUCUGACCGAGCAACGCCGCGUGAGUGAAGAAGGGUUUCGGAUCGUAAAGCUCUGUUGUAAGAGAAGAACGAGUGUGAGAGUGGAAAGUUCACACUGUGACGGUAUCUUACCAGAAAGGGACGGCUAACUACGUG
rnacentral:rRNA from 1 species